CUGAAUAACGAGGUUGCUGUUCUGGCUCUUAGGAGCAUGUGAACGUAGCUUCAAAUUCACCUUUACCCACUGUGCACUUUUGUAGACUAUAACGACUCUCAACGAUCGACUUCAUUGUUGGUCUGUUGGAUGGAAGGAUUUGCGCCUCAGCUAUCUUUCAAUGUUGUAGUCUAUGUUAUAUCUCUAUAAACAAGUCCUAGAAUGUUCAUUUGUGGGUCUCUGACCUAUAAAACUAUAAUA
rnacentral:misc_RNA from 1 species